CAUGCCCAACAAACCAGCACCGUAGUUAUAUACCAGUAAUAUAACAUAGAUAUGUAAUGUCAGCACAACCAUGUGGUUUGUUAUGUAACUGUUACGUGUUUGAGCUAACUAAAGUUUGAGCUUUACAUAACCUUCAAAAACAAAGUGAUUUCCAGUUCCAACCGAACCUCGACGAUGUCGAACUUUCUCGUAUUUUAGUAUGUAUAAAAAAGUUGCUUAUUUUUCUUUGACCGAUGCGAUGAGCGAAUUCUCUUAUGCCGCGGCCUAUCGACGGGGUCUACGGGGCGAGAAAAACCCUCAAAAGGAAGACGUCUGAAGAAACUCUGUCGACUCUGCAAGAACAGAAAACACAAUGCGCGCGCCGGACGCUGAAGGGCGUGCGCGGCGGGACCGCACGUUUUUAUUUGAGCGGGAAUUAUAAUUGAUAAUGCAGGCAGGAACACGACUACCUAGUUUCCAUUCGGACGAGACCCGAUGACAUAAUUACUAAUAUAUACAAAUUAUUAAUAUGUACAAAUGGCAAAUAUAUAAAGUGUGCUGUAUAACGGUCCGCACGAUUUUUUAGGCAUUCUCAAUAAUUUAGAAAAAAGUUUGUAAAGUGGACAUUCAUUUGUAUCAUGUAGGCUACAUGCAAAAAAAUAGACAAAAAUGUUUUUUUUUUAAUGUUAA